rnacentral:rRNA from 1 species
CAGGAUGAACGCUGGCGGUCUGCUUAACACAUGCAAGUCGAACGGGCUCUUCGGAGCUAGUGGCGGACGGGUGAGUAACGCGUGAGGAUCUGCCUUCAGGAGGGGGAUAACGACUGGAAACGGUCGCUAAUACCGCAUAUGCCUACGGGUGAAAGAUUUAUCGCCUGGAGAUGAACUCGCGUCAGAUUAGCUAGUUGGUGGGGUAAGAGCCUACCAAGGCGACGAUCUGUAGCUGGUCUGAGAGGAUGAUCAGCCACACUGGGACUGAGACACGGCCCAGACUCCUACGGGAGGCAGCAGUGGGGAAUUUUCCGCAAUGGGCGCAAGCCUGACGGAGCAAGACCGCGUGCGGGAUGACGGCCUAAUGGUUGUAAACCGCUUUUCUCUGGGAAGAUGAUGACGGUACCAGAGGAAUCAGCCUCGGCUAACUCCGUGCCAGCAGCCGCGGUAAUACGGAGGAGGCAAGCGUUAUCCGGAAUUAUUGGGCGUAAAGCGUCCGUAGGUGGUUAUUCAAGUCUGCUGUCAAAGCGUGGGGCUUAACUCCAUAGAGGCAGUGGAAACUGGAUGACUUGAGUGCGGUAGGGGUCGAGGGAAUUCCCAGUGUAGCGGUGAAAUGCGUAGAUAUUGGGAAGAACACCAGUGGCGAAAGCGCUCGACUGGGCCUGCACUGACACUGAGGGACGAAAGCUAGGGGAGCGAAAGGGAUUAGAUACCCCUGUAGUCCUAGCCGUAAACGAUGGAUACUAGGUGUUGCUCGUCAUCGACCCGAGCAGUGCCGUAGCCAACGCGUUAAGUAUCCCGCCUGGGGAGUACGCUCGCA